rnacentral:tmRNA from 1 species
CCCCUUUCAUUGCGAAACCGUCGCCCCUAUAUUGAGCGCGUCGGUUUCGGCCGACUAUGGCGAUAAACGGCCGAUGCAAUAAGCCAUUCGGACCCGGGGGCGGUACCCGGCGCCUCCACCAGAAACCGCCGGCCAGCCCUCGAUUGGGAGGGCGACACGAAGGGCGGCUUCUGAUGGGGGCGAAACAGGAUCGACGAGGGUGUAAAGAUCGGACUUUCGCUCGGCAUGGUACCACCGUUAUCGGGCUAAUCUUAUAGUUGCCAACGACAACUAUGCGGAAGCACGUCUCGCCGCGUAAGCGGUGCGACAGCUUCAAUUAAAGCCUCAGGCCGUCGCAGGUCUGAGCGGGGUUCGGAGGCACCUGGCAACAGAAGCCUCCACU